rnacentral:lncRNA from 1 species
ACGGUAGGCGGUCGGGUGUGGGAGCCCGGCGAGUAGGAGGCGCUGAGAAAGGGAGGGUGAGGGCUAGGGGGGUGAUUCCCUCCCCUCUUUUUCUUUCUUUCUUUCUUUUUUUUCUUUUUGGUCAAAUCUUGGCCGGCAUCUGAGCAAUAACAGCAAAAAGCUGCUGCCGAAUAGAUGGGGGUGGGGUCAGGUUUGCAGAUAAAUAACUUUAGGGACCGGGUCUAGGGGAAGACCGUUAGGUUGUUAUGCUAGUAAUAACUCAAGGGUAAGGGGGUCGAGAGAAAUAAAAGAAAGGCAGGGGGUGAGGGUCUGUUAGAGCGGGAGGAAGGAUUAAGCAAAGCCUGUCUGGGAAUGCAAAGCGCAGAUUUGCUUUAACCGUUUCCUGCCCUUUCUCUUUCGAAGGGAAGGAAGGGAGCUGCUGUACAAUAAGGUCCAACAGCAUCCAAACCGAACCUUCCCUAUUCCUUCUCUGUCUACAGAGCGAGCCAACUGCGGUCCAGGUCUAACCCUAAAGCUGUCUCCAUUCGCCCCUCCCCUACCUCCAGAACUCACCAAGAUGCUGAUGUAUUCCAAGUGGAUUUAGCUGAUGGAGACAGUUAAACUGCAGUGACUGUAUGCACCUCACAGCAGCUAUUGCUCAGGUAUGUUUUCUUGACUUUCAGAGCUGACUCCCAGGUAGGAUUAGCCCUUUACUUUUGUUGACAUUUCAUUUAUUUAGUUAUUGUUUUGUUGUUAUUGAUAUUCUAAUAUUUUGUUUUUGUUGAUAUAUAAGUUUAUUAUUCCUUCCCUCUCUUGCCUUAGUCAUGGUCAUUGCUAUGCCUCUUUCUACAACAGAGACUUAAUGAAUCUGUGUCUUGUCUCAGAAUAUUGAGUUGGUCUCAACCAUAUAUAGAGAGCACCUUAUUAAGCACCUUACUUAAUAACCAGUAUGUUAUUCCCCAUGACUGGCAGCAAGGGUUGGAAAUCUGGUUUUAUUGUCUGAAUAUUUUGGU